UGUGUCCUCGCGUCUAGCUGGCUGGCUCGCCGGCGGACUGGCUGCGAGCGGUUCGUCAGUCAGUUCCAUCCGGGCCGGGUUGUGGCUGCAGCCGGGUAUGUGAGCGCAGUGUCCCGGAGAGGGAGGGCAGGCCGGCCAGGUGGGCGCGAAGGCGGCAGCGGCGGGAGGCGGCGCAGUGCAGGGGCCGCGCCAGUGGCGGGCAGGGCCGCGGCCGCUGCAGGGAGCCGAGCUGUCCCGGCCAGUGGCCGGCCGAGCCUACAGGUACCUCCGAGAACCUACUCUGUUCUCUUUCUACUGCCAAGACUUCUGGGCGAUGCCUACAGGCACGUGAAAAGUCGAAAGCCCCAGGAAGCUACAAGAGAAAGGAUUUAAGAGCGGGUGAGAGGAGUUGAGGUGGAGCAGAAUCCUUCAGCCCUGAGUCUCCGUGAGGGAACCAGUUCUACGUUCACAUGCAAUUCUUCUACAACCAUGAAGACUGUGCAGUGGUUCCAGCCGAAUCCCAAGGGGCAGCCUCAUCAGUCUUUUCUUCCCGACUCCAGGAACAAAGAGAAUGGGAGGUUAACUGCAACAUUCAAUUCUAAGAAGCGCUACAGCACCCUGCUCAUCAGGGAUGCUCAGCUGUAGGACUCAGGCACCUAUCUCUGUACUGCUGAAGCAAAGUGCUCCCAGCAAGCCUGAGGCCUGGCCCCAAACUGCAGCUGGGUGUGCAGCAAUGUUUGUGAGGAAGCACAAUAAUAUCACAGCAGAAGUUCACUCUUAAGCUGAUGUGAUACUGACUUGUAGAAGGAUAAAAGCUCAGAAGCAUCAGCCACAUGACUAAAAUCUACACUUUAUUUUAUCAAAUGACAAACUAGAGAGAUAUAUUCGUUAUUUAAAUUACAGUAAAUCUAGCAAUUGUUUCUACCAAAAUAUUUACUUAUCUGCAAUGUAAUACACAUGCCAAACUUCUCAUUAAAGCACUUCUUUCCAAAGAAAA